CAGUCGCCGCGGGAAUACGUAGGUGGCAAGCGUUGUCCGGAAUUAUUGGGCGUAAAGGGCUCGCAGGCGGUUUCUUAAGUCUGAUGUGAAAGCCCCCGGCUCAACCGGGGAGGGUCAUUGGAAACUGGGAAACUUGAGUGCAGAAGAGGAGAGUGGAAUUCCACGUGUAGCGGUGAAAUGCGUAGAGAUGCGGAGGAACACCAGUGGCGAAGGCGACUCUCUGGUCUGUAACUGACGCUAAGGAGCGAAAGCGUGGGGAGCGAACAGGAUUAGAUACCCGAGUAGUCCCUGUCUCUUAUAC
rnacentral:rRNA from 1 species